rnacentral:miRNA from 1 species
UAGUUAGAAAUGCACGUUCUUAGGCCCCACCCUGGAUCUCCUGAAGCCGAAUCUCCAGGGCUGGGGCCCAGGAAUCUGCAUUUUACC